GUUGUUUGGAUGUGUAUAUGCGUGUGACAUGUGUUUCUUCUUUCUCUAACUGAUAGGAAAAAGGAAAUAUGACUUUGAUUCUUCGGAGGUGCUUCAGGGACUGGACUUUUUUGGAAACAAGAAGUCUGUCCCAGGUGUGUGUGGAGCAUCACAAACACAUCAGAAGCCCCAAAAUGGAGAGAAAAAAGAAGAGAACCUAACUGAAAGGAAGAGGGAGCAGAGCAAGAAAAAAAGGAAGACGAUGACUUCAGAAAUUGCUUCCCAAGAAGAAGGUGCUACUAUACAGUGGAUGUCAUCUGUAGAAGCAAAGAUUGAAGACAAAAAAGUUCAGAGAGAAAGUAAACUAACUUCCGGAAAGUUGGAGAAUCUCAGAAAAGAAAAGAUAAACUUCUUGCGAAAUAAACACAAAAUUCACGUCCAAGGAACCGAUCUUCCUGACCCAAUUGCUACAUUUCAGCAACUUGACCAGGAAUAUAAAAUCAAUUCUCGACUACUUCAGAACGUUCUAGAUGCAGGUUUCCAAAUGCCUACGCCAAUCCAAAUGCAAGCCAUCCCAGUUAUGUUGCAUGUGAGUAUGAAGAUCUAGAAUGCCUGUAACAUUCCUUCCUCUGUGUGUUUGCCCAUUCUCUUCCCUCUCUUCUUGAACUCUUUCUUUCCACCUUAUCUCCCCUGUUAAAAUCCUUCACUUCCUUUUAAGGUUCAUCAAAUGCCAGUGCCUCCAUAAAAGUUGUCUUGAUCACUCCAUCUAGAUGUGAUCUUCUUCCUUUUCUAGUACCCUUUCCCCCACACUGCAGUUCUUCCAUGGUAUUUGGUGUGUUCUUUUCCUUGCAACAUUUAUUUUACAUUUUAAACUACAUUGUAUUCGCACCAAUCAUAUUUAUCUUUUUCAUUUUACUAGUGUGUAACCCCUUGGAGAAUGGGGAUUAUGUUCUAUUCAUUCAUUCAUUCAUUCAUUCAUUCAUUAUUUAGUUUAUAAUGCCCAGGAACUACUCCAGAAAUACAAAUGCUUUCUAAAGUUCUUGUACAUAAACUGACUUAUUUUUCCGAAUACUUUUUAUUAUUAAAGUAUACUUUACAUACAAUAAAAUGCAUAGAUUUUUAAGUGCCCAGUUUAGUGAGUUUCAGCAAUGCAUGCCCUGUGUAACCACUAUUCCAGUGAAGAUAGAGAACAUAUUUAUUACCCCAGACAAUUUUCUUGUGCCCUUGCCAUUCAGUCCUCACCCUGCCCCUGCUCAGAGGCAACUGCUAUUCUGAUUUCUACUGCUGUAUAUUCCUUUUGCCUCUUCUAGAGUUUUAUAUGAUUGGAAUCACACAUUAAUCUUUUAUUUCUGGUUUCUUUCACUUUGCGUAAUGCUUUGAGAUUCUUCUAUAUUACAUAGAGCAAUAGUUUGUUACCAAGUAGUAUUAUGUUGUAUGAAUAUACCACAAUUUGUUAUCCAGUCACUUGUUGAUAGAGGUAUGGAUUAACUUAGGUUUUUGGAUGUUAAGUUUUUCUGAGGUUUGUUUCUUUAGCAAUAAGAGUUGGGUUUUUUCCCCAUGUAACCGAGAUGGCCUUCAGUUCUGGUUUCCAAAGGAUAUAAGAUACCUUUUCAUCUCUAUACUAGUCCUUUUCGUUUUCUUUGAGAGAUGAAAUGAGAAUACAUUCAUACAUUUAAAUGAUGCUGUUGACUUAUGUUAUAGUAAAUUUGCUUUUAAUUUUUGUUUAAGAUUGUUUCUGUCAUGGCUUUAGCUUAAAGCUUAAAAAAUCACAGUGGGCCGGGUGCGGUGGCUCACGCCUCUAAUCCCAGCACUUUGGGAGACCGAGGCGGGCGGAUCACGAGGUCGGGAGUUCAAGACCAGCCUGGCCAAUAUGGUGAAACCCUGUCUCUACUAAAAAUACAAAAA
rnacentral:sRNA from 1 species